AGCAGCCGCGGUAAUUCCAGCUCCAAUAGCGUAUAUUAAAGUUGUUGCAGUUAAAAAGCUCGUAGUUGAAUUUCGAGACCGGUCUACUGGUCGUGCUUUUGUACGUACUGGUAUUAUUGGUUUCUCCUUUCUGACGAAUCUUAAUGCCAUUAAUUUGGUGUUUUGGGGAAUCAGGACUGUUACUUUGAAAAAAUUAGAGUGUUUAAAGCAGGCUCACGCUUGAAUACAUUAGCAUGGAAUAACGAAAUAGGACGUUUGAUUUUAUUUUGUUGGUUUCUAGGAUCGACGUAAUGAUUAAUAGGGAUAGUUGGGGGCAUUAGUAUUCAAUUGUCAGAGGUGAAAUUCUUGGAUUUAUUGAAGACUAACUACUGCGAAAGCAUUUGCCAAGGAUGUUUUCAUUAAUCAAGAACGAAAGUUAGGGGAUCGAAGACGAUCAGAUACCGUCGUAGUCUUAACCAUAAACUAUGCCGACUAGGGAUCGGAUGAUGUUAAUUUUUAAUGACUCAUUCGGCGUCCUUAC
rnacentral:rRNA from 1 species